rnacentral:rRNA from 1 species
GAUGAACGCUGACAGAAUGCUUAACGCAUGCAAGUCUUUGGCGAAGCUGUGCUUGCACCGCCUAGCCAAGGCGGACGGGUGAGUAACGCGUAAGGAACUUGCCCUGCAGUCAGGGAUAACAGACGGAAACGACUGAUAAGACCUGGUAAAGUCAGGCGGACUCAUGUCCAGCCUGAUGAAAAGUGAUGCUGCAGGAGAGCCUUGCGUCCUAUUAGCUUGUUGGUGGGGUAACGGCCCACCAAGGCGAUGAUAGGUAGCCGGCCUGAGAGGGUGGACGGCCACAAGGGGACUGAGAUACGGCCCUUACUCCUACGGGAGGCAGCAGUGGGGAAUAUUGGACAAUGGGGGCAACCCUGAUCCAGCAAUUCUGUGUGCACGAUGAAGGUUUUCGGAUUGUAAAGUGCUUUCAGCAGGGAAGAAAAAAAUGACGGUACCUGCAGAAGAAGCGACGGCUAAAUACGUG